CUCAGACUGCUGUGCUAGCAAUCCGCGAGACUCCGUGGGGUAGGACCCUCCGAGCCAGGUGCGGCAUAUAAUCUCGUGGUGCGCCGUUUUUUAAGCCCGUGGGGAAAGCGCAGUGUUCUGGUGGGAGUGACCCGAUUUUCCAGGUGCCGUCCGUCACCCCUUUCUUUGACUAGGAAAGGGAACUCCCUGACCCUUGCUCUUCCCGAGUGAGGCAAUGCCUCGCCCUGCUUCGGCUCGCGCAGGGUGCGCGCACCCACUGACCUGCGCCCACUGUCUGGCACUCCCUAGUGAGAUGAACCCGGUACCUCAGAUGGAAAUGCAGAAAUCAACCAUCUUCUGUGUCGCUCACGCUGGGAGCUGUAGACCGGAGCUGUUCCUAUUUGGCCAUCUUGGCUCCUUCCUCAUCCUUAUUCAAUUCUUGAACGGCUCCCAACUUGAACUUGCUAUCUACUGCUGGGAACAAGAUGUCUGGGCAUGUAUGGAGGAUCAGAAUGAUGGAUGAGCCACGAUCUGUUGGGAAAGUGGCUCCACAGUGUCUGGGGACGACGUGUCCCCCAGCAAACCAGCCUGUUAAGAACUUGGUCCAGGAACACCACUGUCAUGCCAUCAGGGUAAGGGCUUUGACGUCCAGGUGCUAGGUAGAGCCAGGACUGCAAGUUGAAAGGCUUUCACUCAAGGUCUCCUUCAGGAUUGGGAGCACAAGGCAACCUUGCUCUAUGACCAACAGAAAAGAGAAACCCAAAGGCUGCAGGGAAGCCCACCCCGGCAGCUACAGAGCACUUGCACCUGAAGUCUGUGAGUAGAAUUUCGGAGGUCUGCAAACUUAGAUGGGAAAAAUUAUAUUCAUAUUUUUACUAAUUGCAGCCUUAAAUUUGCAUUUCAUUCUAUUGUGACAUGGGAAACAAAUCUCAGUAUUAUAUGCAGUAUCUAUUUAUCUAUCUAUCUAUCUAUCACCUAUCAUGUAUCUAUCCAUCUCUAUCUAAUUAUCAUCUAUCUAUAUAUCUAUCUCUAAUCUAGUUUACCAUCUAUCAUGUAUUUAUCAUCUAUCUCUAAUCUAUCAUCUAAUCUAAUCUAAUCUAUCAUCUCUAUCAUUCAUCUAUCUAUAUUUUCUAUCUAUAUCCAUCCAUCCAUUUAUAUCUAUCAAUUAUCUGUCUAUUCUCAUCAUGUAUUUGUCUAUCCAUCUAUCUUUCUAAUCUAUCAUUUACCUAUCUAUCCAUCCAUUUACAUCUAUCUAUUUACCUAUAUGUCUAUCAAUCAAUCAAUUAUCUAUCUAUUCCCAUCAUGUAGCUAUCUAUCCAUCUAUCUCUCUAAUCUAUCUAUCAUCUUUCUAUAUCUAUCUCAAUCCAUCCAUCCAUCCAUCCAUUCAUCUAUAUCUAUCAUCUAUAUCUAUCUAUCAUCUAUAUCUAGCUAUCUAUCCUUCUAUCUCUCUAAUCUAUCUAUCAUCUUUCUAUAUCUAUCUCAAUCCAUCCAUCCAUCAAUCCAUUCAUCUAUAUCUAUCUAUCAUCUAUAUCUAUCUAUCAUCUAUAUCUAUCUAUCUAUCUGUAUCUCUCUAUCUAUCUAUUUAUCUUUAUGGUUUUAUUCCUAAUUGAAAACACAGGUGCAUCUCUAUCACAUUACAACAGUUAUAGAUACUUCAAAAUAUUUGCGUUCAUUGUUACUUUAAAGUUAUGGUAGAUAUGACACUCAAAGAAAGAUCUCCUAUAAUGUGUUAAUAAAGAUGCAUGGGUACC
rnacentral:lncRNA from 1 species